AUACGGAGGGUGCAAGCGUUACUCGGAAUCACUGGGCGUAAAGCGCGCGCAGGCGGGCUGAUAAGUUGGAUGUGAAAGCCUACGGCUCAACCGUAGAACUGCAUCCAAAACUGUCAGUCUAGAGUGUGGGAGAGGAAGAUGGAAUUAGUUGUGCAGGGGUAAAAUCCGUAGAGAUAACUAGGAAUACCAAAAGCGAAGGCAAUCUUCUGGAACCCUACUGACGCUGAGGCGCGAAGGCGUGGGGAGCAAACAGGAUUAGAAACCCCAGUAGUCC
rnacentral:rRNA from 1 species